CCUACGGGGGGCAGCAGUGGGGAAUAUUGGACAAUGGGGGGAACCCUGAUCCAGCCAUGCCGCGUGUGUGAAGAAGGCCCUCGGGUUGUAAAGCACUUUCAGUGAGGAAGAACGCCUGGUGGUUAAUACCCAUCAGGAAAGACAUCACUCACAGAAGAAGCACCGGCUAACUCCGUGCCAGCAGCCGCGGUAAUACGGAGGGUGCGAGCGUUAAUCGGAAUUACUGGGCGUAAAGCGCGCGUAGGUGGCUUGAUAAGCCGGUUGUGAAAGCCCCGGGCUCAACCUGGGAACGGCAUCCGGAACUGUCAAGCUAGAGUGCAGGAGAGGAAGGUAGAAUUCCCGGUGUAGCGGUGAAAUGCGUAGAGAUCGGGAGGAGUACCAGUGGCGAAGGCGGCCUUCUGGACUGACACUGACACUGAGGUGCGAAAGCGUGGGUAGCAAACAGGAUUAGAUACCCCAGUAGUC
rnacentral:rRNA from 1 species